AGCGAACGCUGGCGGCAGGCCUAACACAUGCAAGUCGAGCGCCGUAGCAAUACGGAGCGGCAGACGGGAGAGUAACACGUGGGAACGUGCCCUUCAGUUCGGAACAACCCAGGGAAACUUGGGCUAAUACCGGAUACGUCCGUAAGGAGAAAGAUUUAUCGCUGAAGGAUCGGCCCGCGUCUGAUUAGCUAGUUGGUGGGGUAACGGCCCACCAAGGCGACGAUCAGUAGCUGGUCUGAGAGGAUGAUCAGCCUCACUGGGACUGAGACACGGCCCAGACUCCUACGGGAGGCAGCAGUGGGGAAUAUUGGACAAUGGGCGCAAGCCUGAUCCAGCCAUGCCGCGUGGGUGAUGAAGGCCCUAGGGUUGUAAAGCCCUUUCGGCGGGGAAGAUAAUGACGGUACCCGCAGAAGAAGCCCCGGCUAACUUCGUGCCAGCCGCCGCCGUAACAC
rnacentral:rRNA from 1 species